CCUACGGGAGGCAGCAGUGGGGGAUAUUGCACAAUGGGGGAAACCCUGAUGCAGCGACGCCGCGUGGGUGAAGAAGGAGGUCGGUAUGUAAAGCCCUAACAGCAGGGAAGAAAGAAGACGGUACCUGACCAAGAAGCCCCGGCCAACUACGUGCCAGCAGCCGCGGUAAGACGUCGGGGGCGAGCGUUCUCCGGAUCCACUGGGUGUAAAGGGAGCGGAGAGGGGGGUGAAAGCCAGGGGUGAAAGCCCGGGGCCCAACCCCGGGACUGCUCUUGGAACUGGGCGGCUGGAGUGCGGGAGGGGCCGGCGGAAUUCCUGGUGUAGCGGUUAAAUGCGUAGAUAUCAGGAGGAACACC
rnacentral:rRNA from 1 species